rnacentral:rRNA from 1 species
CCUNGGGCGAUUGAAUUCUCGGCCGCNAANNCGCCCUUCUCAAAGGAUCCNACGGGGGCCCGCACAAGCGGAGGAACAUGUGGUUUAAUUCGAUGAUACGCGAGGAACCUUACCCGGGCUUGAACUGCAGGAGAACGAUUCAGAGAUGAUGAGGUCCUUCGGGACUCCUGUGGAGGUGCUGCAUGGUUGUCGUCAGCUCGUGCCGUGAGGUGUCGGCUUAAGUGCCAUAACGAGCGCAACCCCUUUCGUUAGUUGCCAUCAGGUAAUGCUGGGCACUCUGGCGAUACUGCCACCGUAAGGUGUGAGGAAGGUGGGGAUGACGUCAAAUCAGCACGGCCCUUACGUCCGGGGCUACACACGUGUUACAAUGGGUGGUACAGAGAGUGGGUCGUCUGCAAAUGCGAUCAAAUCCUAAAAGCCAUCCUCAGUUCGGAUUGGGGUCUGCAACCCGACCCCAUGAAGCUGGAUUCGCUAGUAAUCGCGCAUCAGCCAUGGCGCGGUGAAUACGUUCCCGGGCCUUGUACACACCGCCCGUC